GAAUCACUCUAAGGAUUGGGCUGUGGUGAAUCACUCUAAGGACAGGGCUGGUGUGAAUCACUCUAAGGAUUGGGCUGAGGUGAAUCACUCUAAGGAUUGGGCUGAGGUGAAUCACUCUAAGGAUUGGGCUGAGGUGAAUCACUCUAAGGAUUGGGCUGAGGUGAAUCACUCUAAGGAUUGGGCUGAGGUGAAUCACUCUAAGGAUUGGGCUGAGGUGAAUCACUCUAAGGAUUGGGCUGAGGUGAUUCACUCUAAGGAUUGGGCUGAGGUGAAUCACUCUAAGGAUUGGGCUGAGGUGAAUCACUCUAGUUUCAGCUGUAGUAGAUCUACAUGGAUCGCGAACGCCUCAAGCUCAGGGUUGACAAGGUGAAGCAGGGAGGAGGCU
ensembl:lncRNA